GGAGGGACGUGUUUUUUGGUGGUCUGGGCCUAGCGAGCAGCUGCCGGCGCCUCUACUAUGUCGCGGGCACGUAGCCACCUGCUCGCGGCUCGCUUCCUGGCAGCGGUUCCUUCGCGUGGUGCAACAACCGGGGUCGCAGCGAGGCGAGGGUUGAGCGCGUGGCCCGCGCCACAGGAGCCCGGCAUGGAGUAUCAGGAGGCUGUGCGCACACUCAACACCCUGCAGACCAAUGCCAACUACCUGGAGCAGGUGAAGCGCCAGCGGGGUGACCCCCAGACACAGCUGGAAGCCAUGAAGCUGUACUUGGCACGGAGUGGGCUGCAGGUGGAGGACCUGGACCAACUGAACAUUAUUCACAUCACCGGGACCAAGGGGAAGGGCUCCACCUGUGCCUUUGCUGAACGCAUCCUCCGAAGCUACGGCCUGAAGACAGGAUUCUUUAGCUCUCCCCACCUGGUGCAGGUGCGUGAGCGGAUCCGCAUCAACGGACAGCCCAUAAGCCCUGAGCUCUUCACCAAGUACUUCUGGCGCCUCUACCACCGGCUGGACGAGACCAAGGAUGACAGCAGCUGUGUCUCCAUGCCCAGCUACUUCCGUUUCCUCACGCUCAUGGCUUUCCACGUCUUCCUUCAAGAGAAGGUAGACCUGGCAGUGAUGGAAGUGGGCAUCGGCGGGGCUUACGACUGCACCAACAUCAUCAGGAAGCCGGUCGUGUGCGGGGUCUCCUCUCUUGGCAUCGACCACACUGGCCUUCUGGGGGACACGAUGGAGAAGAUUGCGUGGCAGAAAGGGGGUAUCUUUAAGUGUGGCGUUCCUGCCUUCACCGUGCCCCAGCCUGAUGCCCCCCUGGCCGUGCUGAGGGACCGUGCUCAGGAGAUCUCAUGUCCCCUCUACCUGUGCCCACCACUAGAAGCCUUGGAGGAAGGGGGGCCACCGCUGACCCUGGGCCUGGAGGGAGAGCACCAGCGGUCCAAUGCCGCCUUGGCCUUGCAGCUGACCCACUGCUGGCUGCAGCAGAAGGGCCACCAGGAUAUUGGGGAACUGAAGACAUCCAGGCCAAGCCUCCUGGGACAGUUGCCCCUGGCACCUGUGUUCCAGCCCACGUCCCGCAUGCGCCAUGGGCUUCGGGACACGGAGUGGCUGGGCCGGACACAGGUACUGCGGCGUGGGCCCCUUACCUGGUACCUGGACGGUGCGCACACCACCAGCAGCAUGCAGGCCUGUGUGCGCUGGUUCCGCCAGGCCCUGCACCGCCGCGAGAGGCCAAGCAGCGGGUCGGAGGUUCGAGUCUUGCUCUUCAACUCCACCGGGGACCGGGAUUCCGCGGCCCUGCUGAAGCUGCUACAGCCCUGCCAGUUUGACUAUGCCGUUUUCUGCCCUAACCUGACAGAGAUGUCAUCCGCGGAUAAUGCAGAUGAAGGUAGUGCGUCUAGGGCAGAAGGAUGUGCUCAGUGAGCAGAAGUCCCCGCUUUGAAGCGAAACCACCCGGCCCUGCCUCUCACGUGCUCUGUGACUACGGGCCAGUCACUGAACUUUGAGUCUCACUUUCCUCCUAGCACCCACUGCAAGGACCAGUAAUAGACCAGCAGAACUUCACAGUGACACUGGACCAAGUGCUCCUCCGCUGCCUCGCACAUCAGCAGCACUGGAGCCACCUGCAGGAGGAGCAGGCCAGCCCAGGCCUCUGGAGCACCCCCAGCUCAGAGCCUGGUGGGCCCACAUCCCUGCUGCUGGCGCCCCACCCACCCCACACCCACAGCACCAGCUCCCUCGUCUUCAGUUGCAUCACCCACGCCCUGCAGUGGAUCAGCCAAGGCCGGGACCCCGUCUGGCAGCCGCCCAGUCCCCCACGGAGCCUCCUCGCCCACCCCGUGGCAGGCAGCGGGGCCAUCGUACUCCACGAGGCUGCUGCCAUCCACGUGCUGGUCACAGGCAGCCUGCACCUGGUCGGCGGCGUCCUGAAGCUGCUGGAGCCCUCCCUGUCCCAGUAGCCGAGGCAGUGGGGCUGGAAGUGGGGUCCUCCCACACCUGCCCUGCGUCCCUCCAUGAACUGCUAAAUGACAUGCCUCUUGUGCCUUCCUGAUUGUGUCUAGACUGGCCCAGGGACUUGAGCUCUGGGAAGUGAAGUAGACAGCUGGGGGCAGGAAGCGGAGAUCAGACGCCCUCUGACUCCAAGCCUAGGAUGCCCUCGGCUUCUCCUUCCCGGGUCCCCCGCUGACCCUCCAGCCCAUCCCGCUCCCACCCUGUUUGUUUCCUGCCUCAGGCCCAGCUUAGGGCGUGAGCUGCUUGGCCAGACCUGGGGGCCCACGGGGCCUCCUGGCUGCUAAUUUUUAGCUUGCUUCCUCCUUCUGCGAAAGGAGAAGGUCCCUACCUGGGCGGCCCCGGGUGGCUGGAGAGAAUUAAAGCCUUUUUUUUUUUUUUUUUUU